ACCGGAAUAUCAUGAACCCUUUUUCAUACCAAUACAUAUAGAAAAGAAAAGAAAAGAAAUGAAAAGGGUGAGUGUGCUUGUUGGAAAGCGCAAAUCAGGGCAGAUUCAUGUCAAGGUAAAUGCGAGGCAAUCACGGGUGCGGUCCGCACAAACUCCCCCUUUAAUUUAUUUCGCCCCUCCCUUAUUCUUCCAAAUGCGUACCAGAUUCUUUGGAGCCGUUGAGAUCAAAGUGUUAUACGUUUUUUAUGACUCCACUAAACACUCCAAGUGUUUUCCACCAAUAUUGUUUCUUAUGCUUUUAAUUUCUUCCUUCUUGUAUUCAAAAGUGGGAGCUUGAUUAACGCUAUAACCAAAAGUGAUUGAAACAUUUACGUAUAAAUUAUACAUCUCCUCCACACUCCGACAAUUCAUUUUUUUGGACGGA
rnacentral:lncRNA from 1 species